CUAUUAUAACAUUAUACACAUCUUGGAAAAAUAACCAAUGAACUGUUGAAGUACCCAGAAAUAGAAACUAGAAACUCACGCGCUUGCUGUACAGUGUAGGGUGGACAUGGACAAUCUGGCAUCUCUUCCCCAUUUCUAAAGAUGAAAUGGCAAGUCAUCAAUGCUCAGAAAGGCUGUACACAGAAUCCACAUACCUCUCGACGUCCCAGAGGAAAGAGCCAAACGUGACAGCUUCCAACACCAAGUGUUUCAACGAAGGGUAGGUGACUGAGACCGGCUCAUCUUCAACGUUCUGUCCCGCCUUGUCCAGGAAAAGAGCCCGACUAUGCUUCUCAAUCAGAUCGACUGCCUCUCGCGACUUCAGCCUCGCACAGAUCUGCAGAGAUUUGGGGUCAAACUUCAUAACGUAGCUCCUCAGAUUUUUUAUUCUUCUGGGCCUCCUCUGAGAGUACGAAGGGUAGGCAGCAUCAUCCUCUGUGCAGGCAGGGCCAAAGGGGUGCCGCUGCUUUAUGUACUGCGGAUGAUUCACGCUUGGCAUCUGGAUCAGGUAGCUCAAAGGGUAAUCUUUGCUGGUAAGAGAGAAGAGGUACUCCAGAUGGUGCCUCAGGCA
rnacentral:lncRNA from 1 species